AACAUCUUUUUUAUGGAGCUUGGGUUUCUGCCCUGUGAAUUGUAAGGAAAUAAAUUUCUGUUAUUUACCCUAAGUGGCUUUUUUUUUUUUCCCUUAACAGAGGCCCUCACAAACGAAUCCGUGUUUGGCCAUCCAACUUCACACAAGAGAAUGAAGUGGACGUGGUCAUACUCCCAACAGUCCUUGCGUGUUCUACUUAUGCUCCUGCCCUUCUGUGGUCACCGUGACAACGUGCUUGGGUCAGGCUGCAAGUGGCACAGAGCCAAGGCACUCCAGUCUGAAUGGAGACUAUCCAGGCUUGGUCUAGGUCACUGAACAGCCAGCCCUGAGAGAUAUAAACCUAGCCAAGGUCAGGAGAGCCACUGUGAUGAGAUCUGCUGACUACAUCAGCCUUAUUUCUGAAUGACUGAUAUUAACACAAUUGUCUAUGAUGAGGAUAGUUACACUACAGGAAUGGGAAGAUGCUACAAAUCCCUAUCACCCCAGAGCCAAUGAGAACGCAUUAAUCAGCACAUCACGAACUGAUGGUAAACGAGAUGACAGUGUCUGUCAGCAGCUGAGGACUCACUUUGUGGCCUGCUAACUGUCAUCUUCCCAUGAAAGAGAAACAGUGAAAGCCAGGUCUGGCGCCGGAAAAGUACCAGCCAAGCCUGAAACUCUCAGUCGCCUGGAAAGCAAGGGCACACAUGGAUCCUGAAGGCAUCUCAAAAGGUUUCUGAAGACAAUUUGUGGUCAAGCACACACCUCACAGGCACCACACAAUAGCACAGAUGCCCCCCCCCCCCAUGGCACUAGAAAAUAUCUUGAACACCAGAGAAUGAUGCCUCUUCUUGGACCUCAGUUUUUCAACAGGAGCUGUUAAAGCUUCAGUCUGGUAAGAUGACAGGAGCUAGGGACCAGCUGCACCACACUGUCUCUAUAGUUAAUAAUAUUGUGGGCACCCACGAUUUUAGUAUAAAGCAAACAACCAAUACAAGACUCUGAUAAACUAAAAUGAAAUGGAAUAAACCAUGGGGCUGCUCUGUGUCCUCCAGACCCUUGGAACGCAGGAUAUGCAAAGGCACGGGCUCUGUCACUUCCCUGAGCUGCACAGAUUUGCAGAGCACCUACUCUGCUAAGGUGCCACACAGACACAGACCAGGUUUUUGGAUUUGCAUGCACUAAGACUGCCCAUUCUAGGUCUGUCAAGCCUGGGUUUCCCACCAACACUGCCACUCUUCUGUGCCUAUCAGCCACGAAAGAUGAGAACAACGUAAUAUUCAGGAGGAGAUUGGAUCGACACACCAUGCAACUACUUUCCAAUGCACUAAUAAUGGCCCCACACUGCAUGAAUCUCAAGGACAUAAUGUUGGAUAAAAAAUGCAGACUGAAAAGGAGAUGCACAGUGGGUGCCAUUGGUACAGAUUCCGAAGACACACAGAACAGUGCUGCGGAUCAAAAUGAAUGCAGAUGUGUGUGGUCCGUGCAUCAGCACACACGUGUGUUCCAAGCAUCAGCACACACGUGUGGUCCCAGCAUCAGCACACACGUGUGGUCCGAGCAUCAGCACACAUGUGUAGUCUGAGCAUCAUCAGCACACGCAUGUAGUCUAAGCAUCUGCACACACGUGUGGUCCCAGCAUCAGCACACACGUGUGAUCCGAGCAUCAGCACACACGUGUGGUCCCAGCAUCAGCACACACAUGUGGUCCGAGCAUCAGCACACAUGUGUAGUCCGAGCAUCAGUACAUGUAUGUGGUCAGAGUGGUAAGUGCCAGCAUCCUCUCUGGGGAGGUGGAAGAGGAAGGGGCACUGAGUUCAGCUGUCAUCUAUUCUGUGAAAGCAGUGAGGAGAGGGGCUAGAAGAUAGAUAUGGCCAGGCCAGUACAAGCUCAGUGUGGGUGACCACAAGACCAUGGGUACUUAUUAUAUUAGUUUCUCCUCAUUUGCGCUUUAUUCUGCAACAGGAAAGCAUUGAAAAGAAUUAAAGAAAAAUGUAAAAAAGGUAGGUGACAUUUCCUACCAGGCCGAGCAUUCCCUGUAGGUACUGGGGUGA